AUUGAAACUCCAAACCUACUCGUCGGUUGUUGAUGAGAGUUUCUUUGCGCUUUUCAGAAAGAAAAGACAGGUCCGCAUAAGAUGCAUCCAUGGUUGGCUAGAAAUCAACAUCGAUUGAUCAAACACGAGAGACCACUCCAAGUGGCGUUGGUAUGGAUAUGAUCUCUAACCAGUAACCUUGUCGGAUUAAUCCUCCAUG